AUGGUGCAUCCUGGUGCCCAAUGGUGCCCAGUGGUGCCCAGUGGUACCCAGUGGUGCCCAGUGGUGCCCAGUGGUGCAUCGUGGUGCCCAAUGGUGCCCAGUGGUGCAUCCUGGUGCAUUGUGGUGCCCAGUGGUGCAUCGUGGUGCAUCCUGGUGCAUCCUAGUGCCCAACGGUGCAUCGUGGUGCAUCGUGGUGCCCAAUGGUGCAUCGUGGUGCAUCGUGGUGCAUCAUGGUGCAUCGUGGUGCUAAUGGUGCAUCCUGGUGCCCAAUGGUGCAUCGUGGUGCCCAAUGGUGCAUCCUGGUGCCCAAUGGUGCAUCCUGGUGCCCAGUGGUGCCCAAUGGUGCAUCGUGGUGCCCAGCGGUGCAUCGUGGUGCCCAAUGGCUCAUCCUGGUGCCCAAUGGUGCAUCGUGGUGCCCAAUGGUGCAUCCUGCUGCCCAAUGGUGCCCAAUGGUGCCCAAUGGUGCCCAGUGGUGCCCAGCGCCGCCCCCCCCCGACUCACUUGGCGGCCAGUUUGACCCCGCAGGCCUCGCUGCAGUACUUGGAAGGCGGGCGCGCGGGCCGGGUGCAGCCGGGCCCCAGGCAUUGGCCCAAACCCGCGGGGUCGCGGGCGUCGCAGCGCUCCUGGUGCCGGUUCCGCUCGCGGUGCCGUGGCUUCUGCCGGUGCCGUUUGUAACGCUCCUCCUUCUGGGCCGCCGCAGCGGAACCGGGGGGGGGACCAGUAUGACACAGUGCCGCCCAGUGCCUCCCAGUAUGGCCCAGUGCCUCCCAGUAUGACACAGUGCCUCCCAGUGCCUCCCAGUAUGGCCUGGUGCCUCCCAGUGCCUCCCAGUAGGACCCACUGCCUCCCAGUAGGACCCCGUGUCUCCCAGUAGGACCCAGUGCCUCCCAGUAUGACACAGUGCCUCCCAGUAUGACCCAGUGCCUCCCAGUGCUUCCCAGUAUGACCCAGUGCCUCCCAGUUCCUCCCAGUAUGACCCCGUGCCUCCCAGUAUGACCCAGGGCCUCCCAGUAUGGCC
rnacentral:lncRNA from 1 species